rnacentral:rRNA from 1 species
AUUGAACGCUGGCGGCAGGCUUAACACAUGCAAGUCGAGCGGGGGAGGUUGCUUCGGUAACUGACCUAGCGGCGGACGGGUGAGUAAUGCUUAGGAAUCUGCCAUUUAGUGGGGGACAACAUUCCGAAAGGAAUGCUAAUACCGCAUACGUCCUACGGGAGAAAGCAGGGGAUCUUCGGACCUUGCGCUAAAUGAUGAGCCUAAGUCGGAUUAGCUAGUUGGUGGGGUAAAGGCCUACCAAGGCGACGAUCUGUAGCGGGUCUGAGAGGAUGAUCCGCCACACGGGGACUGAGACACGGCACAGACUCCUACGGGAGGCAGCAGUGGGGAAUAUUGGACAAUGGGCGGAAGCCUGAUCCAGCCAUGCGGCGUGUGUGAAGAAGUCCUUAUGGUUGUAAAGCACUUUAAGCGAGGAGGAGGCGACCUAGAUUAAUACUCUAGGAUAGUGGACGUUACUCGCAGAGUAAGCACCGGCUAACUCCGUGCCAGCCGCCGCGGUAACAC